AGCUGCAAUAGCUCAGUUGGUAGCGCAUGAGACUCUUAAUCUCAGGGUUGUGGGUUUGAACCCCACUGUUGGGUGA